rnacentral:rRNA from 1 species
GAUGAACGCUGGCGGCGUGCUUAACACAUGCAAGUCAAGGGGGCCCAGCAAUGGGCAACCGGCGAACGGGUGCGUAACACGUGAGCAACCUACCCAGGUGUGGGGGAUAGCCGUCCCAACGGACGGGUAAUACCGCAUACGCUCUUCUUUAGGCAUUUAGAGAAGAGGAAACCUUCGGGGCACCAUGAGGGGCUCGCGGCCUAUCAGCUAGUUGGCGAGGUAAUGGCUCACCAAGGCUACGACGGGUAGCUGGUCUGAGAGGAUGGCCAGCCACAUUGGGACUGAGAAACGGCCCAGACUCCUACGGGAGGCAGCAGUGGGGAAUCUUGCGCAAUGGCCUAACGGCUGACGCAGCGGCGCCGCGUGAGGGAUGACGCUCUUCGGAGUGUAAACCUCUUUUGCCUGGAACGAAUUGCGAGCUUUUGC